GCAUCGGUGGUUCAGUGGUAGAAUGCUCGCCUGCCUCGCGGGCGGCCUGGUUUCGAUUUUACGGCCGAUGCA
rnacentral:tRNA from 1 species